CCCUUAGAUGUUCUGGGCCGCACACGCGCUACACUGAAGGAGGCAGCGUGUACUCCUGGAUCGAAAGAUUUGGGUAACCCGCGAAUCUCCUUCGUGCUAGGGAUUGAGGUUUGCAAUUAUCCUUCAUGAAUGAGGAAUUCCCAGUAAGUGCAAGUCAUAAGCUUGCGCUGACUACGUCCCUGCCCUUUGUACACACCGCCCGUCGCUACUACCGAUUGAAUGAUUUAGUGAGGACUUCGGACUGGGACCGAUGCGGCUUUCGGGCUGCGUCGGUAUUCUGGAAAGAUGUCCAAACUGUAUCAUUUAGAGGAAGUAAAAGUCGUAACA
rnacentral:rRNA from 1 species